UACAGAGGUCCCAAGCGUUGUUCGGAUUCACUGGGCGUAAAGGGUGCGUAGGCGGCGGGGUAAGUCGGGUGUGAAAUCUCAGAGCUCAACUCUGAAACUGCACUCGAUACUGCUCUGCUUGAGGACUGGAGAGGAGACUGGAAUUCACGGUGUAGCAGUGAAAUGCGUAGAUAUCGUGAGGAAGACCAGUGGCGAAGGCGGGUCUCUGGGCCGAUACUGACGCUGAGGAGCGAAAGCGUGGGGAGCGAACAGG
rnacentral:rRNA from 1 species